rnacentral:rRNA from 1 species
UACGUAGGGGGCAAGCGUUGUCCGGAAUUAUUGGGCGUAAAGCGCGCGCAGGCGGUUUUUUAAGUCUGGUGUAUAAGCCCGAGGCUCAACCUCGGUUUGCACCGGAAACUGGGAGACUUGAGUGCAGGAGAGGAAAGCGGAAUUCCACGUGUAGCGGUGAAAUGCGUAGAUAUGUGGAGGAACACCAGUGGCGAAGGCGGCUUUCUGGACUGUAACUGACGCUGAGGCGCGAAAGCGUGGGGAGCAAACAGG